AAGUGUAGUAGUACUGCUUGGUAAGCUAUUACAGCAUGGUUGUAAUGGCUUACUAGAGUGUUGUAUGUGCAAAAUGUCCCUGGUAAUCGGUUACAGCCUGGUGGUAAUCGAUUACCAGAAUUCUUUGGGUGUUGAACAACAAUUUUAAUGAGGUCUUUUAGAAUUGCUCAUCUUCCUUUCCCCUGCGAACAAAACAAACAAACCUUUUAUCAAACAUUUUUAUAACUCUUUGUUUUCUUAAAUGCUUUUUUUUUUGUCUGAAACAGAGAAAAUUACUGAAAUUGUUGAAUCCAUUUAUGUACAAUUUCUUCAAGCCUGCUAUUGAACAAGAGAUGCAGAUUUGAAAAGUAUAUAUUAUUAUAGAAUAAAGACAUACAAAAUUCUUUAAUAAUCAAUAUUUCUUAGGAGGCGGCAGCUUUAACACGUAUAGUUAGAACAAGAAAUAAUUGAGAGUCAAAUUGGUGAUGAUGAAUAUCAUACCUUCUCAGUAGGUCCUCCUGUUUUUCCUCUAAUGAAACCUACAUAAGUUCAAAUGUAAAGUAUGAGUUAUUUUCAACCAACCAAUGAGACAAUUAACUAUAGUUGCACUUUGAAAAUUAUAAAAUGAACACUUAUGCUCAUUCCCACGCUGCCAGCAAGAUUACCAAAUGAAUGGAAAACUGAUUCUUACGUUUCCAUAGUCCUCAAUUAGAGCACCUUUUGUAAUUUCUCACAGCUUCACUGAACCAGAAGUAUCCUAUGAAGAGCCAUUUACCAGCACCGAAGACGGCAAAAAGAUUACGGAAUAAAUCUCAAUAUUAACAUGUUUUGCAUAAUAACACGAACAGAAAACACCGUGAUUACCUUUGUCAGGACAAUGCCUUUUAUCAUCCAAAACAACAUGUUGUACCAUUGCAGGGAUACUAGGAAUAGUUAAUGUUGGUUGUUUAUAUACAGGAACCUAUAUAAAGAUAUGCACACACCAAACUAUAUAAAGUGUGUUUGGUUUAUCAUUCUUUAUUUACCCCAAAUUUUCAUUCUUUAUUUGGUUUAUCAUAAAAAGGAGUAUUCAACAUUUACAGUAUACCAAAAAGUUAAAAUACCAAUAAAUAAAUAAAUAAAAUCACAAUAUUCUAAAAGUUCUCAGAUUUCUCACAUUUGCCUAAAUUUAUAGUGAUUUUGCUAAUCUAUUUCUUCAAUUAAUCCUCUUACGUCAUUUAGGAAGGGAGUAUCUCUUGAUGCCUGUAAUAAAUAAAGAAUAUAAGUUAUUUAAAUUUAAUUUUUAUCAAAAUAAAUUAAAACAGCAAUAUAAAAAACGUAUAGCUGAAAAUUGAUAAAAGGAAACAAAACUAUCCUAUCUCAUAAUAUAGAGAAAAGGAAGAUUAUCAUCAGAAUGAUAAUAUUGUGAGACAAUGUCUUCUACAAUUAUUUUAGUGCAUUGAAAGUGAUGGUAACAGAGGGCUACAAGUGACUAAAUUUAAUUCAUUCCAUUCUAUUAGUAUUUAUUUGUAAUUCUCUCUUAUCAUUCAACAACAAAGUCAAUAUAUUUUUAAAUUAUAAUUCCACCCAGACAUUCUUUAGAUAUAAUUAAUAAAAUUAGCGCAUUGGACUUUUGAGAAAAACAAAUAUAACAUACAGGAGUAGAUUCUUAUAAUGACACCCUUAUUCUCGAAAGUGACAAAUUUCCAAUCAGUAGAGAAUUUUCUCUUUCAAAAAUCUUUCGAGGGUUCCGUCCUUGAGCACUCCAUCUGUGAACUGAAGAGUCCGUUGAUGUAACCCAUAUGUUAUCAUCAUGCAAAGCCAAUUGAAGAAUAGGAUUUUCCUCAGUACAGAGCAAAGCACUCUCUCUUGUUUGCAAGUCUGUCAAGUAUACACAUAUAAAACAAUUAGGAAGCACAAUAAAGGGACAUUACAUAAAAUUCAAUUAAUCUUUUAUGCAAAACUGCACUCAUUGAAAGAUCUCUGCCACCACUGUAAACGAUUUUGCUACUAUUAUAUAGAUGAUAAGGUAAAUAUAUAGUUGACUCCCACAUUGAGUUGUUUUUUACAUCUGAUUAAACAAAACUAUUCUAAAAGUUACAUCCGGUUUCUAAUUCCUAAAAACUAGACUCUAAUAUAUGUAAAUGACCAGCUAAAGCAAAUAUAAUGAGAAGCAAUGAAGAAUUACCUUCACAAAGAAGUAAUUAAUAUCUAACAACAACAACUUUGAUUCAAAGUAAUGAGCCAAGCAAACACCACCAAACCACCCUAUGCAUCUUUGAAGUCAUUAAUAUCUAACAAAACUUAACAAGCUUACAUCUUGAAACACUGUCAAGGAGGUAAACCAAGUGUUAACACCGUCGAGGAGGCCGUGAAGAAGGAGGUGACUCCGGUCAACGACUGAUUCCACCUUGUGCGACUCACUCGCAAACUCCUCAAAAACGCCAAUCGCAAGAUCGGCUAGCUUUAGGUUUUUGGAAUUAAGGAUUUGAAAUAGAGAAAAACAAGAGAAUUGGGGAUUGCGAAGUGACGAAGGACUGUGAGGAUAGAAAAGUCGAGACGCGAAGGCUGUGAAGAUGGAAACGACAAGACACAAAGGUUGGGAAGAUGGAAAUGGCGACCCGUGCGAAUCACAAGCUCCUCAAAACCACCAUCGGAGAUCUCCUGAAAAACGUCAAUCGCAAGAACAGUGAGCUCCUAAUGCUUGGGUUUUCGGAAUUAGGAAUUUGGAGGAGGAGAAGGCUAGGGAUUGCGAAGUGACGAAGGAUUGUGAAGAUGAAGAAGUCGAAAGGCGAAAGCUAAAAAUGAAGAAGGGGAGACACGAAGGUGAAGGUGGAAAUGACGCAGUGUAGAAAGUCAAAGAAGGGGAGACGCGAAGAUGAAGGUGGAAAUGACGCAGUGAAGAAACUCAAAAAUACCUCAAGCUCUGAAGGUGAAAAACAAAGUUCUAUUUGGGUGUGGAAAAAUUAUGAUAAAAAAAUUAAAAAAAAAAAAAAAAACUUGACUGCGGUUAUGUAUAAAAUCGCCUAUAAUUAGAAAAGGUUUUCAAAACCCGGUGCCCAAACGUCUACUAUAUUGCUUUAUUUUUGUAGUGACCAUAUCCAUGUUAAAAUAUAUUUUCAAAUACAAGGCAAUAAAAUAUAUUUUUGAC
rnacentral:lncRNA from 1 species